AAUCAACGCUGGCGGCGUGCCUAACACAUGCAAGUCGCACGAGAAAGGGUCUUCGGAUCUGAGUAAAGUGGCGCACGGGUGAGUAACACGUGAAGUAUCUACCUUCGAGGGGGGAAUAACUUCGGGAAACCGAGGCUAAUACCACCUAAUAUCGACGGAUCAACGUAGUAAUGCGCUUGACGCGGAGUUCGCGGCAGAUUAGUUAGUUGGCGGGGUAAUGGCCCACCAAGACGAUGAUCUGUAUCCGGCCUGAGAGGGCGCACGGACACACUGGAACUGAAACACGGUCCAGACUCCUACGGGAGGCAGCAGUGGGGAAUUUUGCGCAAUGGGGGAAACCCUGACGCAGCAACGCCGCGUGGAGGAUGAAGUCUCUUGGGACGUAAACUCCUUUCGAUAGGGAAGAUUAUGACGGUACCUAUAGAAGAAGCCCCGGCUAACUUCGUGCCAGCCGCCGCGGUAA
rnacentral:rRNA from 1 species